rnacentral:misc_RNA from 1 species
GAUGAAGAACGCAGUGAAAUGCGAUAAGUAAUGUGAAUUGCAGAAUUCAGUGAAUCAUCGAAUCUUUGAACGCACAUUGCGCCCUUUGGUAUUCCAAAGGGCAUGCCUGUUCGAGCGUCAUUUGUACCCUCAAGCUUUGCUUGGUGUUGGGCGUCUUGUCUCUAGCUUUGCUGGAGACUCGCCUUAAAGUAAUUGGCAGCCGGCCUACUGGUUUCGGAGCGCAGCACAAGUCGCACUCUCUAUCAGCAAAGGUCUAGCAUCCAUUAAGCCUUUUUUUCAACUUUUGACCUCGGAUCAGGUAGGGAUACCCGCUGAACUUAAGCAUAUCAAUAAGCGGAGGA